UACGUAGGGUGCAAGCGUUGUCCGGAAUUAUUGGGCGUAAAGAGCUCGUAGGCGGUUUGUCGCGUCUGCCGUGAAAGUCCGGGGCUCAACUCCGGAUCUGCGGUGGGUACGGGCAGACUAGAGUGAUGUAGGGGAGACUGCAAUUCCUGGUGUAGCGGUGAAAUGCGCAGAUAUCAGGAGGAACACCGAUGGCGAAGGCGGUUCUCUGGGCCUUACCUGACGCUGAGGAGCGAAAGCAUGGGGAGCAAACAGG
rnacentral:rRNA from 1 species